GGGCUCAGUGGGAGCUCGAUGGCGGCGGCAGCGCCCACACCCAGGAUGAACAGAGACAAAAGCUGCAAUGGAGCGGAUGGAAAACGGUGGUUAGUGGAGAAUCUCCUUCUAUGAUUGUCUCUAAUCCUUUUGACUUACAGCGAACAUUUUGGCUAGGAAUUUGUUUGGAUUUGGACGGUGGUGUCUUGGUAGUUGGCUUCACUUGGGGCUCCUGCACUGAACUAUGUCUCCAAGUGUCGCGCUCGCAACUUUUAUAUAGCUCGUCGAGUCAAAGCUCUCUGGCCCCACCUCCAUUCCAAAUCCAAGCCCAAACACACGCACCACGCACCGCGAACCGGAAUCCGGCUAAUGCAAAAUUGUUAUCAUUUUUUAAUUUUAUUUUUUGGCAAAUUUUGUACUGUGGUAAUAAAACAUUCAGUGCUUUGCUCCAGUUUGUAGCAACAAUGUAGGCAAAGCUAAGCUCAUGUUUCUGGAUUGUCAAUCGGGUCCUAUGUGACCCAUACGCCACAGUCAUACAAUGGAAUCCAGCAUACCAUUCAAACUACGAUCAUGGUCCAAAGUCAAGUGAAAGUUGUCUGAUAUCAGAGAAGCAAUUAAUCCAAUAUGAUAGGUUUUAGUUGGUUUUCGUGGGUUCAAAGAUUUGAUUUCAAAUAAUUGUAUUUGAUAGAGAUCAUGAGAAAGGAAGGAUUGACCACAGACGCCCUUUAAGUAAAUUGUGGGGGCUACUUCACUUCCAUUUUAUCCACAAUUCCACUAUUAGGAUCACUUUGCUGACAAGUUAACUGACAUAUUGAAUGGCCGAAUGGGAAGGGGAUAAGCUUAUCGCCGUCACAACAAACAAAUUGCACGUUGACAUUCGCAGAUCGUUUGAUCGACAAACCUGAGAAAUGCCGUAAAGAGCUUUGCCGAUUUUCCACUUAAUUAAUUAAUCAAAUUGCAACAUCCGCCAGAGUGCCGUGCCCCCCAAGAUCUCUGAUCCGGCCAGAUCUGGGUCUGGUCAGGUGGCAGUGCUGUCGCCUUCGCCUUUCACGCAUGCUCCGCACACAAAUCAAUGCGAAAAAGCUCUGCUGGCGCUUUU
rnacentral:sRNA from 1 species